UAUGUACUCCCUCCGUCCCAAAAUUCUUGUCUUAAAUUUGUCUAAAUACGGAUGUAUCUAGUUACAUUUUAGUGUUAGAUACAUUUGUAUCUAAACAAAUGUAAGAAAAGAAUUUUGGGACGGAGGGAAUACUAC
rfam:Triticum aestivum genome assembly, contig: Triticum_aestivum_CS42_TGACv1_scaffold_331111_4BS